rnacentral:rRNA from 1 species
AGGGCACCACCAGGAGUGGAGCCUGCGGCUUAAUUUGACUCAACACGGGAAAACUCACCCGGCCCGGACACUGGAAGGAUUGACAGAUUGAGAGCUCUUUCUUGAUUCAGUGGGUGGUGGUGCAUGGCCGUUCUUAGUUGGUGGAGUGAUUUGUCUGGUUAAUUCCGAUAACGAACGAGACUCUAGCCUACUAAAUAGAUCGUCGGCUUACAAACGCCGGCGAGACUUCUUAGAGGGACAGGCGGUGAUUCAACCGCACGAAACAGAGCAAUAACAGGUCUGUGAUGCCCUUAGAUGUCCGGGGCCGCACGCGCGCUACACUGAAGUGAUCAGCGUGCUUUUUCAACCUACUCUGUCAAGAGUGGGGAACCCAAUGAACCUUCUUCGUGAUUGGGAUAGGGGAUUGUAAUUAUUCCCCUUGAACGAGGAAUUCCCAGUAAGCGCGAGUCAUAAGCUCGCGUUGAUUACAUCCCUGCCCUUUGUACACACCGCCCGUCGCUACUACCGAUUGAAUGUUUU